GAAAGGAGAGAGUGGCUGGCUGAGGGAAACAGGAGAGCAUUUACUUCUCUUCUCUUGCUGUACCAGUCCAACCUGAGUGUCUGCACGAAGGAGUUUUGAGUUUUUCACUUUGUAGGAAUCAUCCAUGAACAAAACUGGGUAGAACUAAGCAGGACUGAACUAGUCCAGAAGGUGAGUUGCUUUGUUGUGCCACAAGAGUGUUUCUCUCCAGCUCCGGUUGAGCGUUCUGGCUUUACAGAGCUGAUAGCUACACAAACAAAAGAAAAGCUCAGUUUUCCUUGUGUUGCUUUUUGCCCUUUAUGCUCUAGAUUUUACAAGGAAUGUCAUUUUUUUGUGUGUUGAACCAAAAAAUUCCUAAGUGAACGAGCAGAUUAUUUGUUCCGCAAUGUGCACGUUAGUGAAAAAUGCAGAACAAUGGGUGUAGCCCAUUUCAUAGCUAUUAAGCUGUAUAGAUCAUGGGUGUAGCGACAGCUUCAACUUGCAUGGGUGCCUUUUUGGCGAAUACAAGGCUGCAAAAAGAAAUGGAACAACUCUACCAGUGUGUUGGAAGACAAGGCCCAGAUAAAUAGUGUUAUUAGCCAGUGGGGAGAGCAACUAAUGACCAGGUGGAGAGCAUCCGUUCCAGGUGCAGGAUCUGAGUAUAGAAACAGCACUGACCUUGCACACCCUGACUUUUACAGUAGAGUAUUUAAUAGGAAUGGAAUAUGCAGGUAAAUGAAAGCUAACUUAGUGAUGUCUGGCUAUAAUCCCUUUGUCACAACCGCCUUUGUAUCUAACACACUUACGAGGUGUGGACAUCAAAUUGUAAGUGCAAAAGGACUCUAAAUUGUCUCUCUUUAUUACCCUUCCAGGGAGAAAAUGGUGCUGAUGAAUGUAUAAAUCUGAAGAAGAGUGAGACAAUAAUAAAUGUUACAAGAGGAAUUUCUGAUAACAAGCAGUUUUUCUGAAUCCCACAUGUUCCAGACUGAAGUGAAAUGGCAGAAAAAAAGGCUCAAGGAGAGAAGUGGUGUGUCAUUCACUCAGCUGCCUCGCUUGGAGCAGAGCACAGCGAGACAAAACUAGAAGACCCUUGCUUAGGCAACUUCUUGCAAAGAUAUUCUUGCUCCAGGUCUAAGGUAUUUUUGCAACCAAGUUAUAAAUACAACAUGUUCAUCUUCUUCCAUCUAACAAGUUAAAAAAAACCCACACAGAGCAAGUUUAAACUUGGAUUUAAACUAGGAUUUAAACUUCCAGCUUUUACUGAAAUGGGUGGGUAAGCAUCUAUGUGCUUGUCAGCUGUGUCUAACUCUUAUAAAAUAAAAAUAUAAGAAUAUAAUAGAAAACCUGAGUGAGCUCCCUUGUGAGGAAGAGGGUGAAGCUACUGUUGUUGUACACAUACAAAUCAUUAUUUUCUGUGA